GAGUUUGAUCCUGGCUCAGGGCUAACGCUGGCGGCGUGUCUUAGACAUGCAAGUCGAACGGACCUUCCUUGUGUAGCAAUACGUAGGGAAAGUUAGUGGCGAACGGGUGAGUAAUACUGGGGUAAUCUACCCUGGAGUGGGGCACAACUUCGAGAAAUCGAGGCUAAUUCCCCAUACGCUCCACUGUACAUAAAGUACAGAGGAGGAAAGGUGGCCUCUGCUUGCAAGCUACCGCUCUGGGAUGAGCUCCUGGCCUAUCAGCUUGUUGGUGAGGUAACGGCUCACCAAGGCACCGACGGGUAGCCGGCCUGAGAGGGUGAUCGGCCACACGGGCACUGCGACACGGGCCCGACUCCUACGGGAGGCAGCAGUCUAGAAAAUUGCGCAAUGGGCGCAAGCCUGACGCAGCGACGCCGCGUGCGGGAUGAAGUCCUUCGGGAUGUAAACCGCUGUCCCGGGAGACGAUGGGGCGCAUACCCAAUACGUAUGCGUUUUGACGGUAUCCCGGAAGAAAGCACCGGCUAACUACGUGCCAGCAGCCGCGGUAAUACGUAGGGUGCAAGCGUUGCCCGGAUUCACUGGGCGUAAAGGGUGCGUAGGCGGAUUGGUAAGUCUGCUGUGAAAUCUCCGGGCUCAACCCGGAAACUGCGGUCGAUACUGCCGGUCUAGAGGACAGAAGAGGAGAGCGGAACUCCUGGUGUAGCGGUAAAAUGCGUGGAUAUCAGGAGGAAGGCCGAUGGCGAAGGCAGCUCUCUGGGAUGUUCCUGACGCUGAUGUACGAAAGCUAGGGUAGCAAACCGGAUUAGAUACCCGGGUAGUCCUAGCCGUAAACGAUGUACACUAGGUAUUGGCAUCAGUCAGUGCCGGAGCUAACGCAUUAAGUGUACCGCCUGGGGACUACGGCCGCAAGGCUAAAACUCAAAGGAAUUGACGGGGCCCCGCACAAGCGGUGGAUGAUGCGGUUUAAUUCGUUGCUACGCGAAGAACCUUACCUGGGCUUGACAUGUACGUGGUACGGAUCCGAAAGGUGAAGGACCGGGGUUUUCCCCGGAGCGUACACAGGUGCUGCACGGCUGUCGUCAGCUCGUGCCGUGAGGUGUUGGGUUAAGUCCCGCAACGAGCGCAACCCCUGCCGAUAGUUGCCAUCAGGUUAUGCUGGGCACUCUAUCGGGACUGCC
rnacentral:rRNA from 1 species